rnacentral:tRNA from 1 species
GGGGUUAUAGCUCAGUUGUAGAGCUCUUGCCUCACAUGCAUGAGGCCCUAGGUUUGAUCCUAAGUACCG